UACGUAGGGUGCAAGCGUUGUCCGGAAUUAUUGGGCGUAAAGAGCUCGUAGGCGGUCUGUCGCGUCGGCUGUGAAAUCCCGAGGCUCAACCUCGGGUCUGCAGUCGAUACGGCAACAAUAGAGUGUUGCAGGGGGAGACUGGAAUUCCUGGUGUAGCGGUGAAAUGCGCAGAUAUCAGGAGGAACACCGGGUGGCGAAGGCGGGGUCUCUGG
rnacentral:rRNA from 1 species